GACGAACGCUGGCGGCGUGCCUAAUACAUGCAAGUCGAGCGAAUCUUUAGGAGCCUGCUCCUAAAGGUUAGCGGCGGACGGGUGAGUAACACGUGGGCAACCUGCCUAUAAGACUGGGAUAACUUCGGGAAACCGGAGCUAAUACCGGAUAAUCCUUUCCUUCACAUGAAGGAAAGCGUAAAAGACGGUGCAAGCUGUCACUUAUAGAUGGGCCCGCGGCGCAUUAGCUAGUUGGUGAGGAACGGCUCACCAAGGCAACGAUGCGUAGCCGACCUGAGAGGGUGAUCGGCCACACUGGGACUGAGACACGGCCCAGACUCCUACGGGAGGCAGCAGUAGGGAAUCUUCCGCAAUGGACGAAAGUCUGACGGAGCAACGCCGCGUGAGCG
rnacentral:rRNA from 1 species